ACAUACCUUUAACGUUGCCUCGGCGGGACCGCCCCGGCGCCCACUCGCGGCCCGGACCCAGGCGCCCGCCGGAGGACCCAAACUCUUGCUUUGAACAGUGGCAUACUCUCUGAGUCUCACAAACAAAAAUGAAUCAAAACUUUCAACAACGGAUCUCUUGGCUCUGGCAUCGAUGAAGAACGCAGCGAAAUGCGAUAAGUAAUGUGAAUUGCAGAAUUCAGUGAAUCAUCGAAUCUUUGAACGCACAUUGCGCCCGCCAGCAUUCUGGCGGGCAUGCCUGUCCGAGCGUCAUUUCAACCCUCAGGACCCCUUCGGGGGACCUGGUGUUGGGGGCCGGCCGCCUCGCGCGCCGCCCCCGAAAUGCAGUGGCGACCUCGCCGCAGCCUCCCCUGCGUAGUAGCACAACCUCGCACCGGAGCGCGGAGACGGUCACGCCGUAAAACGCCCAACUUUCACGAGUUGACCUCGGAUCAGGUAGGAAUACCCGC
rnacentral:rRNA from 1 species